rnacentral:rRNA from 1 species
GGAGUCUGCAACUCGACUCCAUGAAGUCGGAAUCGCUAGUAAUCGUAGAUCGGAAUGCUACGGUGAAUACGUUCCCGGGCCUUGUACACACCGCCCGUCACACCAUGGGAGUGGGUUGCACCAGAAGUAGAUAGCUUAACCGCGAGGGGGGCGUUUACCACGGUGUGAUUCAUGACUGGGGUGAAGUCGUAACAAGGUAACCA